CUCAAAAUGCAUGAAUUCUCAUUAUUAGUCUGUGUGGCUAUUAAAAAACCAAUGCUAGAAUAAAAAGAAACUUGUCAACUCAAUCAACUUGGCCACGCCUUCUUUUAAUUAACCACAUUACCAAUUUAACUAAAGGCAAGUUCCACCUGCUGGUUUUCCCACAAGUCCACUGCACCUGAUAACACUUGAAUUAGGCCACAUUAAGAUGCUCAAAUAAAAGAAACACUCUACAGCACUGAGUCUCAAUAAACCAGAUACUCCACAGUCAACAGAAAAGGUCUUGUUCUGGUGCUGAAUGGCCACGCUGAAGACUUUGACUCUGACGCACAGAGACAAACCCCCCAAAGCCUCUUCAGACACUCCAACACUCGGGAUAAUUAGCCUGCUUUUGCAGCCCUUUCGAUCACUUCCGAUGCUUUUUGCCCUCCAGAGCAGAUGCAGUGUGUAUUCUAUCUCUUCAACUAUUCUUCUCUAACUAAAUGGCCUGGAAUUCUGGAAGUCCAAGUGCAACCGGCAAAAGCCCUAAUAAAGACUUCACACUUGUCCGAGGAGUUCCUGUUGGAUGUCUCAUUGUUUUCUCUACCUCGUCUCCUCACAAGCUUUGGCAAUUUUUCUCAGAAGCUGAAAGAACGUCAAUGCUUUUAAACUGGGCUUACUGCGGGAAUAAAUUAAGAUGUUAACUGAUGGACUGGAGUGCUGUGGAUCUAUCAGCUGUUUGGACUCUCUUUCUGACGGCACCCAUUCACUGCAGAGCAUCCAUUGAAGAGACACUGAUCCAAUGCUAGAUUUCUACAAACCUGAUGAAGAAACCAACUCUGAUCUUGCAUGACCUGAGAGUGAGGACAUUUUUUGGCUCUUGUGCAUUUUCACCACUCUCCGCUCCACAUUUAACCAUUUAUAUCAGAGACGCUCACCUUCUGCCUUCAUGUAGUGCACAGAGUAGGCGAUGACUUUGUCCGAGUUGUACAUGGGUCUCUCCCAGGCCAGUAGGAUGGCUGAGCUGGACACGGUCUCCGCGCGGAUGUUUCUGGGAGCGCUGGGACGGUUGUCUGACAUCACUACGAUCAGACGAGCCAUGGCCAGAACCGACCCCUGCUCGUUCUCCGCCUGACACUGGUAUAUGCCGUCAUCUUCAGGAAUGAUCUGGUUAAUCACCAGUUUACUGUGAACAACAAGAGUUUUUCAUUAUGAGUUUUUUUUUAUCCUUUUUGCCUCAAGAUACUGAUAUACUGACAUCUCACUAAACCUGGUAAUAUUGCAUGACAAAUUCAAAAUAUUUUUGAACUGGUAACAUUUUUUGCAUUAUCUUCAUAAAAACUAAGCGCAUCUUACUACCAUAUUCUCAAUUUAGUGAUAUAUGUAAAUAUAUAAAAUUAUCCCAAGGAACACAUGUUAGGAAACAUUGUUAGACUGAAUGCAAUGUAACCUUUGGAUAAAAGCGUCUGCUAAAUGCAUUAAUUUAAUUUUUAAUUUUAAUUUAAUUUAUAAAACUAAGAACUUAAUAAAACCCAUCAUGAAGAAAAACGAAAACUAAUAUAAACAAAACAUCAGGAUGCAUUAUAUUAUAUUAUUUUUUAGCAUUAUUUUCACAAAAAUUAAGGACAUUUUACUACCUCAUUAUUAUUAGUGAAUUUGGGGAAUAUAGUGAAUUUUAUAUAUAAUUUUAUUUUAUAUAUGUAUAUGUUUUUUUAACAUCAAUAUUUUGUUUUGUAACUUGAAUAUUUGUUGAUACAGGAACUGCAGGAAUAAAUAUUUACAUAUAUACAUAUUUAUAUAUAUAUAUUUAACAUGCAUGUUUAACGUGUGUAUGUUGAGGUGGAAACCCUCCUCUUUUGGUUUUUAGGGUCCCAUAACAAACCCAGACAGGAAAACAAAUUAGAGUAAAAUCAAUGAGUAAAUCAGCUCAAGCCCCAUUAGCAGAGCACUGAAUAAUUAACCCUCUCUUGUUCCACAGAAGAAACCAGCUGAUGAAUAUUUGAGCAGGACAGAGUUUCCAGCAGACAAAUGAGCGUAGUGCUCAAAAUAUACAAAUUAAAGACAGACAUAAAUUAUAAAUGCAUUGGGUUCAGGCUUUAGGGCAGCAGUGUCUACAGCUUUAAAAGCAUCAACUAUUGCAUUAAACUAUUUAAGCAGAUGCAAAUGUUGCAAGAAACACAUUUAUUGUUUUAACCAAUGCAUGUUCUCGAAUGCAAUGAUUCACGGAUGUUUUUCACACGGCAGUACCUGUUAUACAUCUUGACACGUCCAUUGGAGUGAACAGGUUCACCGUUCUUCAGCCAUGUGAUCUGAGGUUUUGGAGAUCCCUCUGCCACACACACAAAGCGGGCGGUACCAGCCCUCGGUCGGGUCACGCUUUCUGGCCAUUCCACGAGAGACGGCGCCGCUGCAUGUAAAGAAAUGCACAGACGCAUAUAUUAAAUACAUGCAUUUGUGCAAUCUAAAACAGCUGUUUUAUUUAUGUGUGACGCUGGAGCACAAACUAGUCAUAGGGGACAAUUAAAAAAAAUAGAGAGAUUUUUU